AAAGGAAUUGACGGGACCCCGUACAAGCGGUGGAUCAUGUUGUUUAAUUCGAUGAUACGCGAAGAACCUUACCAGGUCUUGACAUCCCCCGCGAUGCUUUAGAGAUAAAGCGGAGGUAUUCGGGGAGACAGGUGGUGCAUGGUUGUCGUCAGCUCGUGUCGUGAGAUGUUGGGUUAAGUCCCGCAACGAGCGCAACCCCUAUUGCUAGUUACCAUCAUUAAGUUGGGGACUCUAGCGAGACUGCCAGUGAUAAACUGGAGGAAGGUGGGGAUGACGUCAAAUCAUCAUGCCCCUUAUGACCUGGGCUACAAACGUGAUACAAUGGCUGGAACAAAGGGAUGCGAAGCAGUGAUGUGGAGCGAAACCCAUAAAAACAGUCUCAGUUCGGAUUGAAGUCUGCAACUCGACUUCAUGAAGUCGGAAUCGCUAGUAAUCGCGGAUCAGAACGCCGCGGUGAAUACGUUCUCGGGGUUU
rnacentral:rRNA from 1 species